rnacentral:misc_RNA from 1 species
AAUUCUCAACCCUCUUAUCCUUGUGGUGAGAUUGGGUUGGAUUUGGAGGUUUAUGCUGGCUUGUAAUGAGUCGGCUCCUCUUGAAUGCAUUAGCUUGGACCUUUGCGGAUCAGCUUUUCGGUGUGAUAAUUGUCUACGCCGUGGGCUGUGAUGCUGUUUAACAUGCUUCGGCGUGUUGGGGUUCUGCUUCUAAUGGUCCCUUUGGUGGGACAACUUACUUUGAC